rfam:Streptomyces oceani strain SCSIO 02100 scaffold56, whole genome shotgun sequence.
CUUCACCGAGCCCAGCCACAACGGACGCUGAGGAUCGCGUCCCUCCCCAUACGUCGCCAACAGCGCCUGCGCCUC